GAUGAACGCUGGCGGCGUGCCUAAUACAUGCAAGUCGAGCGAACGGACGAGAGGCUUGCUUUUCUGAUGUUAGCGGCGGACGGGUGAGUAACACGUGGAUAACCUACCUAUAAGACUGGGAUAACUUCGGGAAACCGGAGCUAAUACCGGAUAAUAUUUUGAACCGCAUGGUUCAAAAGUGAAAGACGGUCUUGCUGUCACUUAUAGAUGGAUCCGCGCUGCAUUAGCUAGUUGGUAAGGUAACGGCUUACCAAGGCAACGAUGCAUAGCCGACCUGAGAGGGUGAUCGGCCACACUGGAACUGAGACACGAUCCAGACUCCUACGGGAGGCAGCAGUAGGGAAUCUUCCGCAAUGGGCGAAAGCCUGACGGAGCAACGCCGCGUGAGUGAUGAAGGUCUUCGGAUCGUAAAACUCUGUUAUUAGGGAAGAACAUAUGUGUAAGUAACUGUGCACAUCUUGACGGUACCUAAUCAGAAAGCCACGGCUAACUACGUG
rnacentral:rRNA from 1 species